rnacentral:rRNA from 1 species
UACAGAGGGUGCAAACGUUGUUCGGAAUUACUGGGCGUAAAGCGCAUGUAGGCGGCCAAGCAGGUCGGAUGUGAAAUCCCUCGGCUCAACCAAGGAAGUGCAUUCGAAACCGCAUGGCUCGAGUCCCGGAGAGGAUGGUGGAAUUCUCGGUGUAGAGGUGAAAUUCGUAGAUAUCGAGAGGAACACCGGCGGCGAAGGCGGCCAUCUGGACGAGGACUGACGCUGAGAUGCGAAAGCGUGGGGAGCAAACAGG